GCGAAAGUGGCGGAAUUGGUAGACGCACUGGAUUUAGGUUCCAGCGCCUCGCGGCGUGAGAGUUCGAGUCUCUCCUUUCGCA
rnacentral:tRNA from 1 species